CAAUCCAGCAAUGUGAUCCUGCUCCUUUCUAUCUUUUCGAUGAAAUAGAUGCAGCGCUGGAUCCUCAGUACAGAACUGCUGUUGGAAGUAUCCUUUAUGUCGUAGUCUGUGGAGUUCUAUAUCUCUUCUGAAGUUGAUUUAGUUUUCGCUUUCAUUUGACUAUAUGGUAUUGCACCCUAAAACCCUUCAUAUCCAGCCCAAUAGCCACCUCUGAUAAAUUUAUGUCCCUGAACUCUAGGUUUCUCCAUCAGUCAUAUGUAAGCAACCCACCAUUAUGUGUCACUAAUAGGAACUUCAAACCUCCUUUCAAAAUAUAAAAAUCUUUGUAUAUGGUUAAUGCCCAUGGGGGAGUUCAUUAUGUACUGGCAUAUCUUUCUAGUCCUAAGGACCGUAAGUAAAUGGAAAGUUACCUAGAACAGAUAUGACACACUCUUAAGUUUGAGUCUGGAUGUAGAUUGUCUUUUGCAAUGCAAAUACUAAUGGAGGCUAAAUGCUCCUGUAUGACAAAGCCUGCACAGAUGCACAUUCUUAUCACAGAUGAAAUGCAGAAGACAAAGAUAAGUUAGAAAAUAGCAUAUAUUGUGAAAGAAGACUUUGUUGAUAGGCAUUUAGCUCAGACAUCAAUCCAAAGAAGCAUAUAAGUAGGAUGAGUCACUUUUUUCUUUGUGAAGAGGACAUGCUGACCAAUACAGCUUUGGACAGCUUUCUGAUCAACUUCUGUGGGUAUUGGUUCAUUUGCAGAGUGACUUUUUUUUCUUUUUUCUUUCUAAUUUCAGUGUUCUAAGCUUGUAAUGGGCACUUUGUCUGCAUUUCUUUUUAGACAUGCCUAUGUUGGAAGUUUUACAGCCAUGGAAGUUCCUUAAUUAGCUGUUGUAGAUAUGAUCCGACGACUGGCAGAUACAGAAACUACUCAAUUUAUAACCACAACAUUCCGACAAGAGCUUGUGAAAGUUUCUGACAAAAUCUAUGGUGUUACACAUUCAAACAGGGUGAGCCGUGUCAACGUUAUCUCGA
rnacentral:lncRNA from 1 species